rnacentral:rRNA from 1 species
CCUACGGGUGGCUGCAGUGAGGAAUCUUCCACAAUGGACGAAAGUCUGAUGGAGCGACACCGCGUGAAGGAUGAAGGCCUAACGGUUGUAAACUUCUUUUCCGAAGGAGCAUAAUGAGAGUACUUCAGGAAUAAGGGACGGCUAAAUACGUGCCAGCAGCCGCGGUAAUACGUAUGUCUCGAGCGUUACCCGGAAUCACUGGGUGUAAAGGGUUCGUAGGCGGAUCAGUAAGUCAGAUAUGAAAGACCGGAGCUCAACUCCGUGUUUGUGUUUGAAACUGCUAAUCUAGAAUUAGGGAGAGGUAAGCGGAAUUCUAAGUGUAGGGGUGCAAUCCGUAGAUACUUAGAGGAACACCAAAAGCGAAGGCAGCUUACUGGAACUAUAUUGACGCUGAGGAACGAAAGCGUGGGGAGCGAAAAGGAUUAGAUACCCUGGUAGUC